rnacentral:tRNA from 1 species
GGGAAAGAAACAUUAUGGUAAUGUGGUUGGCUUGAAACCAGUUCAGGGGGGUUCGAUUCCUUCCUUUCUCG